UACGAAGGGGGCUAGCGUUGCUCGGAAUCACUGGGCGUAAAGGGUGCGUAGGCGGGUCUUUUAAGUCAGGGGUGAAAUCCUGGAGCUCAACUCCAGAACUGCCUUUGAUACUGAAGAUCUUGAGUUCGGGAGAGGUGAGUGGAACUGCGAGUGUAGAGGUGAAAUUCGUAGAUAUUCGCAAGAACACCGGAGGCGAAGGCGGGUUGCUGGGCCGACACUGACGCUGAGGCGCGAAAGCCAGGGGAGCAAACGGG
rnacentral:rRNA from 1 species